AGUGGGGAAUAUUGCACAAUGGGCGCAAGCCUGAUGCAGCCAUGCCGCGUGUGUGAAGAAGGCCUUCGGGUUGUAAAGCACUUUCAGCGAGGAGGAAAGGUUGUUGGUUAAUACCCAACAGCUGUGACGUUACUCGCAGAAGAAGCACCGGCUAACUCCGUGCCAGCAGCCGCGGUAAUACGGAGGGUGCGAGCGUUAAUCGGAAUUACUGGGCGUAAAGCGCAUGCAGGCGGUUUGGUCAGUCAGAUGUGAAAGCCCCGGGCUCAACCUGGGAACUGCAUUUGAUACUGCCAAACUAGAGUCCUUGAGAGGGGGGUAGAAUUUCAGGUGUAGCGGUGAAAUGCGUAGAGAUCUGAAGGAAUACCAGUGGCGAAGGCGGCCCCCUGGCAAGAGACUGACGCUCAGAUGCGAAAGCGUGGGGAGCAAA
rnacentral:rRNA from 1 species